rnacentral:other from 1 species
UUUCCCCUGCUUAGUGCGUGAUAAUCUGUAAUUGUGACCCACAUCAGAUUAAAGGAGUCCGAUUCGCGCGAUGGUUUGCAGACCUCCCGCAUUUCUUGCGGUUGACUUGUCCCGGAGAAACGGCGGAAGCUGGGAGCAGUAAAGUCGCGGAUAGGACACCGCCCUGGAAGAAACAGGGUUCCGUUUUAUGGGUUACACGGCUCGGUGGGGGUAGU